rnacentral:misc_RNA from 1 species
UUUUUUUUUUUUUUUUUUUUAUCAGUAAUCUUGGUCUUCCUUUGAAUAUUAGAAAAUUAUUGAUUUGAAUCUUUCUUUAAAGAAAGGCUGGCAUUACAAGUGCAAUGAUGCAAUUCUGAUUAACCCAUUAAACAUAAAUUUAUUUUUUUUUUUUUAAAGAUUGUGACAUUAUUGUUUUUGUCUGCUUAUAGACAUUGUCGGGAAGGGGAUGGGCUCAUAGCAGGUUCUCUUUUUGGGUGGAAACUCCCAGCAGCAGCUAACGAAAUGGAGCAGGAAAGUCAAAUGGGUAAGCAGGUUUGUCUGGUUUUUGCCGUUAAUGGACAGAGGUUCCAGCUAUCUAAUGUUGAUCCUUCUAUGACUUUGCUUGAGUUCUUGCGAACCCAGACCCCUUUCAAGAGCGUCAAGCUUGGUUGUGGUGAAGGUGGUUGCGGUGCUUGUACUGUUCUGGUCUCCAAGUACGAUCCCUUGCUUGACCAAGUUGAGGAUUUUACAGCAAGUUCAUGUCUUACACUGGUUUGCAGCAUAAAUCAAUGUUCAAUUACAACAUCUGAAGGCCUGGGUAAUAGCAAAGUUGGUUUCCAUCCAAUUCAUAAAAGGUUCUCUGGAUUCCAUGCUUCUCAAUGUGGCUUUUGUACUCCUGGAAUGUGCAUGUCCUUAUUCGGGGCCCUUGUUAAUGCUGAAAAGGCUGCUCGACCCGAACCUUCUUCAGGAUAUUCCAAGCUGACAGUCAUUGAAGCUGAAAAGGCUAUUGCAGGAAAUCUUUGUCGCUGUACUGGAUAUCGACCCAUUGCUGAUGCAUGCAAAAGUUUUGCAUCUGAUGUCGAUAUGGAGGAUUUGGGAUUUAAUUCUUUCUGGAAAAAGGGGGAGAGACAGGAAGCAAAUAUAAGUGCGUUACCUUUGUACAAUCAUAAUCAUGAGAUUUGCACUUUCCCUGCAUUUUUGAAAAGGGAAGUCAAAGCUUCUAUGCUUAUAGAUUCUAAAAGAUGUUCUUGGCACCAACCUUCUAGUUUUUUGGAGCUUCAAAGCUUAUUAAAAUGCUAUGAUGCCAACAAUGGAGUCCGGAUGAAACUGGUGGUUGGUAACACUGGCAUGGGCUAUUAUAAGGAAUUAGAACCCUAUGACAGAUACAUCGAUCUCAGGUAUAUUCCUGAACUGUCAACGAUUAGGAGAGAUCAAAAUGGUAUUGAAACUGGGGCAGCUGUCACUAUUUCUAAAGUUAUUGAAGCUUUGAGAGAAGAAAUUAAAGAUGAAUUUAUCUCAGCAAGUAAGCUGGUGUUCGAAAAAAUUGCAGACCAUAUGGAUAAAGUUGCUUCCAAAUUUAUAAGAAAUACAGGCAGUAUUGGGGGAAAUUUGGUGAUGGCACAAGGAAAACAUUUCCCUUCAGAUAUUGCCACAAUACUUCUUGCGGCCGGUUCAUUUGUUCAUAUAAUAACUGGUUCCCUUCAUGAAAAGCUUACCUUGGAGGAGUUUUUAGAAAGGCCUCCCUUGGAUUCCAAAAGUGUACUCAUAAGUGUUAGAAUCCCAAAUUGUGGAUCCAUUAAGGAUGUAUAUCCUGAAGGAGAUAGUAAGCUGUUUUUUGAAACCUACCGAGCUGCACCGCGGCCCCUUGGAAACGCUUUGCCUUAUCUGAAUGCUGCUUUCUUGGCUGAAGUUUCCUGCUCAAAAUCAUCUAGUGGAAUUAUGAUGAAUAGCUGUCAGUUGGCAUUUGGUGCUUUUGGAACUAAACAUGCUAUUAGAGCUAGGAAAGUUGAGGAAUUUUUAACAGGAAAUUGGUUAACCAAUGCUGUUCUCUGUGAAGCUAUUAAAUUAGUUAAAGCUGCUGUGGUACCUGAGGAUGGAACUUCAAAUCCUGCAUAUAGGUCAAGCAUGGCUGUUGGUUUUCUUUUUGAUUUUCUCAGCCAGUUAGCAGGUAGCAGUUCUUAUGGUUGGCUAAAAGGAAUCAAGGGAUAUAAUGGUAUUUCAAUGUUGGAGGAUUUCAAAUCAGAGAAGUAUGGCAAUCUGGAUCAUGUUAAAUACCCCACUAUGCUGUCAUCAUCCAAACAGGAGAUCCAAUUAAACAAAAAGAAUUGUCCCAUUGGCGAGCCAAUUACCAAAUCUGGAUCUGCCCUUCAAGCUUCAGGUGAGGCUGUUUAUGUGGAUGACAUUCCAUCCCCCGGAAAUUGUCUGUAUGGAGCAUUCAUUUAUAGCACAAAGCCUUUUGCUAGGGUAAAGGGUAUAGAAUUUAAUUCUAAAUCACUCCCAGAUGGAGUAACUGCACUUAUUUCUUUCAAGGAU